rnacentral:rRNA from 1 species
AACGAAUGCUGGCGGCAUGCCUAACACAUGCAAGUCGAACGAGAUCUUCGGGUCUAGUGGCGCACGGGUGCGUAACGCGUGGGAAUCUGCCCUUUGGUUCGGAAUAACAGUUGGAAACGACUGCUAAUACCGGAUGAUGACGAAAGUCCAAAGAUUUAUCGCCAGAGGAUGAGCCCGCGUAGGAUUAGCUAGUUGGCGUGGUAAAGGCGCACCAAGGCGACGAUCCUUAGCUGGUCUGAGAGGAUGAUCAGCCACAGUGGGACUGAGACACGGGCCAAACUCCUACGGGAGGCAGCAGUGGGGAAUAUUGGACAAUGGGCGAAAGCCUGAUCCAGCAAUGCCGCGUGAGUGAUGAAGGCCUUAGGGCUGUAAAGCUCUUUUACCCGGGAUGAUAAUGACAGUACCGGGAGAAUAAGCUCCGGCUAACUCCGUGCCAGCAGCCACAGUAA